rnacentral:rRNA from 1 species
UACGGAGGGUGCGAGCGUUGUCCGGAAUCACUGGGCGUAAAGGGCGCGUAGGUGGCGCGGUCAGUCAACGGUGAAAGUUCGGGGCUCAACCCUGAAUCGGCCGUCGAUACUCCCGGGCUUGAGCACUGUAGAGGCUAAUGGAAUUCCGGGUGUAGCGGUGGAAUGCGUAGAGAUCCGGAAGAACACCGGUGGCGAAGGCGGUUAGCUGGGCAGUUGCUGACACUGAGGCGCGACAGCGUGGGGAGCAAACAGG